rnacentral:rRNA from 1 species
AUUGAACGCUGGCGGCAGGCUUAACACAUGCAAGUCGAACGAGUGGCGGACGGGUGAGUAAUGCUUGGGAAUCUAGCUUAUGGAGGGGGAUAACUACGGGAAACUGUAGCUAAUACCGCGUACCAUAGGAUGAGCCCAAGUGGGAUUAUGUAGUUGGUGAGGUAAAGGCUCACCAAGCCGACGAUCUCUAGCUGGUCUGAGAGGAUGACCAGCCACAAUGGUACUGAGACGCGGCCCAGACUCCACCGGGAGGCAGCAGUGGGGAAUAUUGCGCAAUGGGGGAAACCUGACGAAGGCAUGCCGCGUGAAUGAAGAAGGCCUUCGGGUUGUAAAGUUCUGUCGGCGGCGAGGCGUUAACUACAGAAGAAGCACCGGCUAACUCCGUGCCAGGAGGCGCGGUAAUAC